rnacentral:rRNA from 1 species
CUAUACGGUGAAACUGCGAAUGGCUCAUUAAAUCAGUUAUCGUUUAUUUGAUAGUACCUUACUACUUGGAUAACCGUGGUAAUUCUAGAGCUAAUACAUGCUAAAAACCCCGACUUCGGAAGGGGUGUAUUUAUUAGAUAAAAAACCAAUGCCCUUCGGGGCUCUUUGGUGAUUCAUAAUAACUUAACGAAUCGCAUGGCCUUGUGCCGGCGAUGGUUCAUUCAAAUUUCUGCCCUAUCAACUUUCGAUGGUAGGAUAGUGGCCUACCAUGGUUUCAACGGGUAACGGGGAAUUAGGGUUCUAUUCCGGAGAGGGAGCCUGAGAAACGGCUACCACAUCCAAGGAAGGCAGCAGGCGCGCAAAUUACCCAAUCCCGACUCGGGGAGGUAGUGACAAUAAAUACUGAUACAGGGCUCUUUUGGGUCUUGUAAUUGGAAUGAGUACAAUUUAAAUCCCUUAACGAGGAACAAUUGGAGGGCAAGUCUGGUGCCAGCAGCCGCGGUAAUUCCAGCUCCAAUAGCGUAUAUUAAAGUUGUUGCAGUUAAAAAGCUCGUAGUUGAACCUUGGGCCUGGCUGGCCGGUCCGCCUCACCGCGUGCACUGGUCCGGCCGGGCCUUUCCUUCUGGGGAGCCGCAUGCCCUUCACUGGGUGUGUCGGGGAACCAGGACUUUUACUUUGAAAAAAUUAGAGUGUUCAAAGCAGGCCUAUGCUCGAAUACAUUAGCAUGGAAUAAUAGAAUAGGACGUGUGGUUCUAUUUUGUUGGUUUCUAGGACCGCCGUAAUGAUUAAUAGGGAUAGUCGGGGGCAUCAGUAUUCCGUUGUCAGAGGUGAAAUUCUUGGAUUUACGGAAGACUAACUACUGCGAAAGCAUUUGCCAAGGAUGUUUUCAUUAAUCAGUGAACGAAAGUUAGGGGAUCGAAGACGAUCAGAUACCGUCGUAGUCUUAACCAUAAACUAUGCCGACUAGGGAUCGGGCGAUGUUAUCUUUUUGACUCGCUCGGCACCUUACGAGAAAUCAAAGUCU